GGCAAGAUGGCCGAGCGGUCUAAGGCGUGUGACUCAAGCUAUAUAUAGCUUCCCCUUCAGUAGGGGGUCGAUUCUCAUCUACGUUUGUAGGCGUGGGUUCAAAUCCCACUCUUGUCA